rnacentral:rRNA from 1 species
GUGGGGAAUAUUGGUCAAUGGCCGGAAGGCUGAACCAGCCAUGCCGCGUGCAGGAAUGAGGCCCUAUGGGUCGUAAACUGCUUUUGUGGCGGAGCAAUAAGGUGUACGUGUACACCGAUGAGAGUACGUCACGAAUAAGCAUCGGCUAACUCCGUGCCAGCAGCCGCGGUAAUACGGAGGAUGCGAGCGUUAUCCGGAUUUAUUGGGUUUAAAGGGUGCGUAGGCUGGCGCUCAAGUCAGGGGUGAAAUCCCGGAGCCUAACUCCGGAACUGCCCUUGAUACUGUGUGUCUUGAAUUCGGAUGCCGUGGGAGGAAUGAGUAGUGUAGCGGUGAAAUGCAUAGAUAUUACUCAGAACACCGAUUGCGAAGGCAUCUCACGAAUCCGAGAUUGACGCUGAGGCACGAAAGCGUGGGGAUCAAACAGG